AGUUAAUAAGCUUAAAGCAAUAUAUCUUGAAAAUAUAUUAAAGAAAUCAAAAUUCUAUUAACUU
rnacentral:tRNA from 1 species